UACGAGGGGGGGCAAAUGUUGUUCGGAAUCACUGGGCGUAAAGGGAGCGUAGGCGGGUUUCUAAGUCAGGUGUUUAAUCCCGGGGCCCAACCCCCGGACAGGCACUUGAAACUGGGAAUCUUGAAUAGUGGAGAGGUCAGUGGAAUUCCCGGUGUAGCGGUGGAAUGCGUAGAGAUCGGGAAGAACACCCGUGGCGAAGGCGGCCGGCUGGGCCGGGUCCGACGCGUGAGGCGCGAAAGCGUGGGGAGCAAACAGG
rnacentral:rRNA from 1 species